AAAACAAAGCGAGAAAAUCCAGCUAGAAACUGGUGACUACUUUCUUGGGUGAGAGUGCUCAACAAGAAAGAGUUGUACUUUGAUUCUGUGAUAGGUUGUUGAGUAUCUACAAGGAUCAGACGGUGAUCAAUAGGAAAGAGAUCAUUAAGAUAGAUAGGUUUCGGGGAGGAAACUGGACAAUCUGUAAUUGAUUCUUUCUAUUGGAGAAGAAAAUCUGAAAUCCGUUUGGAUUUGCAGGACUGG
rnacentral:lncRNA from 1 species